UACGAAGGGGGCUAGCGUUGUUCGGAAUUACUGGGCGUAAAGCGCGCGCAGGCGGUCUUCCAAGUCAGUGGUGAAAGCCCGGAGCUCAACUCCGGAAUUGCCAUUGAAACUGUGGGACUGGAGUACGAGAGAGGUGAGUGGAAUUCCCAGUGUAGAGGUGAAAUUCGUAGAUAUUGGGAAGAACACCGGUGGCGAAGGCGGCUCACUGGCUCGUAACUGACGCUCAGGCGCGACAGCGUGGGGAUCAAACAGG
rnacentral:rRNA from 1 species